rnacentral:tRNA from 1 species
GCCUGGGUGGCUCAGUCUGGUUGAGCGUCCGACUUCGGCUCAGGUCAUGAUCUCGAGGUUCGUGGGUUCAAGCCCCGCCUCGGGCU